CGUAGUUAAACAUAUAAAUAUAUUUUUUUUUUUAAUAUCAGAUUUAAAAUCCGUUUGAAUGCGGUGGGCACGCGCAUGCGCAUGCGCAAACAGCGCAACAUCACCUUCCUUCGAUCGAAUUAGUAAAAUGGUGGCGCAAACGCGCAACGCGCUCGUACAUACACAUAACUCCAAAAUUUAUUAAAGGGCAAUUGCAACUGAGUACAUACGAAAUCGAUCGAUCCACGCGACCGGCGAAUCGAAUCAUUCGCGAUUUCUUGACAAUUUUUAUCCAUGCUACCUUUUAUAUCCGAAAAGCGCUGCUACUUAUGACAAAAUGGCGGCAAGUAAAACAGUGAAGUGAGCUACGACAUGGAGCAGAUGUUCCACCAUGUUUACUCGUACAUUCGGAGUCGAGCAGUGUCAAAAUCUUCUUGAUCUCCGAUAAGCAAGUACUUGGAAAUUCAAUCACCCGAAUUGAGGUGUGCGAAACGCACGGCCGAACGAUGCACGCACGGGUCUCUUGCGGACUAAUUUCCAAACCAAAAUAAAUAUAGUUCUGCGUCGUCUCCGUAAACCCCACGGCGAUCGCAGUGAUGCCACGUGUUCCUAGCUAGUGACAUUAGACGCAUUGUUCGGACGAUUGUCAUUCGGAGCGAGAUGAUAUUCUGGAAAAAUAGAUGUGCGUGUGCAUAGAAAAAAUUAAUGUAAUUCAAAUUCAUGCAAACUCCUGUAAACAACAUUAAACCAAUUUAAAUUUGAAUUUAUUGAUUUGCGCGCCGAUAUUUAUCAAAGAAC